UACGGGGGGAGCAAGCGUUGUUCGGAUUUACUGGGCGUAAAGGGCGCGUAGGCGGUCCGACAAGUCAGGGGUGAAAUCCUGCAGCUUAACUGCAGAAGUGCCUUUGAUACUGUCGGUCUUGAGGGAGAUAGGGGUGUGCGGAACUCACAGUGGAGCGGUGAAAUGCGUUGAUAUUGUGAGGAACGCCGGAGGCGAAAGCGGGGCACUGGAUCUCUUCUGACGCUGAGGCGCGAAAGCUAGGGGAGCAAACGGG
rnacentral:rRNA from 1 species